GCAAACUUGGUCAUUUAGAGGAAGUAAAAGUCGUAACAAGGUUUCCGUAGGUGAACCUGCGGAAGGAUCAUUAUUGAAUGUUUGAAGUUAGUUGAGCUGGUUCUAACGGACAUGUGCUCGCUGCUUCUGUUCAUAUCAUCCACCUGUGCACUUAUUGUAGAGCUUUGGAGAAAGCCUUGGUUCGCGCCAGGGUAAGUAUUCAGAGUUUCUAUGUUUUCAUAAACUCUAUGAAUGUCUGGAAUGUCUUUUAUUGGGACUUUGUUCCUUUAAACUUUAAAUACAACUUUCAGCAACGGAUCUCUUGGCUCUCGCAUCGAUGAAGAACGCAGC
rnacentral:misc_RNA from 1 species